CCCUUAGCUCAGUUGGAUAGAGCAACGGCCUUCUAAGCCGUGGGUCGCAGGUUCUUAUAAGG
rnacentral:tRNA from 1 species